rnacentral:rRNA from 1 species
AAAAGGUGGCUAUGCUACCGCUUUUGGAUGGGCCCGCGGCGCAUUAGCUAGUUGGUGGGGUAAAGGCUUACCAAGGCAAUGAUGCGUAGCCGAACUGAGAGGUUGAUCGGCCACAUUGGGACUGAGACACGGCCCAAACUCCUACGGGAGGCAGCAGUAGGGAAUCUUCCACAAUGGGCGAAAGCCUGGUGGAGCAACGCCGCGUGGGUGAAGAAGGUCUUCGGAUCGUAAAACCCUGUUGUUAGAGAAGAAAGUGCGUGAGAGUAACUGUUCACGUUUCGACGGUAUCUAACCAGAAAGCCACGGCUAACUACGUGCCAGCAGCCGCGGUAAUACGUAGGUGGCAAGCGUUAUCCGGAUUUAUUGGGCGUAAAGGGAACGCAGGCGGUCUUUUAAGUCUGAUGUGAAAGCCUUCGGCUUAACCGGAGUAGUGCAUUGGAAACUGGGAGACUUGAGUGCAGAAGAGGAGAGUGGAACUCCAUGUGUAGCGGUGAAAUGCGUAGAUAUAUGGAAGAACACCAGUGGCGAAAGCGGCUCUCUGGUCUGUAACUGACGCUGAGGUUCGAAAGCGUGGGUAGCAAACAGGAUUAGAUACCCUGGUAGUCCACGCCGUAAACGAUGAAUGCUAAGUGUUGGAGGGUUUCCGCCCUUCA